rnacentral:rRNA from 1 species
AACGAACGCUGGCGGCAGGCCUAACACAUGCAAGUCGAGCGAGGACUUCGGUCCUAGCGGCGGACGGGUGAGUAACGCGUGGGAACGUGCCCUUUGCUUCGGAAUAGCCCUGGGAAACUGGGAGUAAUACCGGAUGAGCCCUUUGGGGGAAAGAUUUAUCGGCGAAGGAUCGGCCCGCGUUGGAUUAGGUAGUUGGUGGGGUAAUGGCCUACCAAGCCGACGAUCCAUAGCUGGUUUGAGAGGAUGAUCAGCCACACUGGGACUGAGACACGGCCCAGACGCGUAAGGGAGGCAGGGGGGGGGAAUGUAGGAGAAGGGGGCAAUGGGGUAUCGAGCCAUGCCGGGUGAGAGAGGAAGGAAGUGUAGUAGUAAAGCGCGCUCAGCUGAGAACAUAGUGACGGGACGGGCUGAAGAAGCGAAGGAUAACUAAGUG